GCUCCAGUAGCCUAGUGGUUAGAGCGUCCACCUUGGAUGCGGGAGGUUGUUGGUUCGAUCUCUGGUCGAGUCA